AUGGGUGACCUCCUUCAUAGUGGCCACCUUUGCAGGAGUACCCACGUGGCACAGGAGGGCUUCAUAGCCUUCAUUGGCUUUCCUCUCAUUCCCAGUGGACAGCUGCAGAAUUCUGGAUGGGUCCCAGAUAGAUUAACUCAAAGUUGCAAACAUUUCUUCCUUCUCCAGGAACCCAGACACAGCACAGGUGUGGGGGAAUGUGAAGACAGUGGGCCUCAAGGGCUGGCCCCAGAUGACGAGUCUCUGAUGCCGGAAGUCCUAGCAAGUGCAUUUCCUGCAGGACUGAUACUGAGCUUAUCUGUUUUCAUGGUGACCAGGCGUAGUCGAUUCUGCAGACUUAAAGCCAGUCUUCCCACCGUCUCUGACCAGGACCUUCACGACUUAUCUCCCUGCCCAGGCCUGGCCUCCCUGAUCCACCCCUCUUGCCAGCUCCACUUGAACACCUUCAAUGACUUUGUGGUGUCUUGGACACAUCCGGCUGCCUUAGCAGGCACAUGGGACCUCCCGUGGCCUCAGACAUCCCCACUGGUGGCCAGGCCCAUCAUAGUUGGGCUGGACACAGGGGCCUCCCCUCCAUGCUCUGCACACAUCAGAGCCCCCCAGGGCCCCUCAGGGCUCUUGCACUUCUGGCUGGACCACCCUGGCCCCCUCACUGUCAAACUCCUCAUCCCGCCUUUAAACUCACAGCAAAUGUCACUGCAUUUGUGGAGACCCUCCCACACCCUCCCUAGGGGCCCACAGCUCCCUGCCCACACCCCACAACUUCCCCUCAGGUAUAGAAGGCCCAGUGACCAUGAUCUCAACCCUGUGGGAGCCUCAGCACCCCAUGGGCCGGGUUCACGCUGGGUGACCAAAUGCCGUGUGGUACACAAUUCAUAAAAUGAGAGAAGAAAUGCUUUGGGGGCCUCUGAGCCCAGAGGCUGAGGAACCACAUGAGAAGUGAGUGGCACUCUGCAGACGUGGCCCCUCCUUCCCUGUUUAUGCUUCAAGAUGGCCGAGAACCAGAGCAAGACCAGAAGCUGCAGGAUGAAAUGAUGCUCUGGACCAGACUGGUGGUUUUGACCAGAGGCUGCAAAUGAGGCCUGCGUUUGGCUUGAUGUGCUCAGCUCACUAAAAUGCAAGGCCUCCCGGAGAGGAAGACCUUGCCACCAUUUGUAGGGCUGACUGGCUCCUCUACGGAGAAGGCAUCAACAAAGCUGGAACAGAACAGAGAAUUCACCUUAGGAUGUGGAGCCUAGAAGUGGGGGUGACCCGCUGGACACAACAUCAGGUGCAGCACUCCUGGAUAGUGAAGCCAUGUGGAGCCACUGCCCAGGAUCAGGAAAGGCCCAGCACAUGCUGCUGACCUCUUCAUUGUAUGCACGCCAGGACUCAGCAGGAUGGCCUGAGACAACCGUAAGCAGGACAGAACACACUGCAAUCAAAUCAGCCUCUAAGUUGGCCCCAAACAUCAAAUGGGCCUGGGCAUGAUGGCGUAUUUUCAGGCACAUAUAAACUUGGCCUGUAUUCCUCAGGGCGUGAGUCUGGCACCUCUCUGGAUCAGUAAAUAGGCUUUUUGAAAAGCCCAAACAAACCAUAAGGAAAUCCUGCAUUCUGAAACAAAAGGUAUAAAAGCUAAGUAAAGACACACACUGCCAUUGUCUGCUUUGCCAGGAUGUGAGCUGUUGCCUUGGGAGAAAGAUAACAUGAAAGAGGCCAUAAUUGCAGGGCCAAGACUGCAGGCCCCACAAAAACAGGACGAAACAUAGCAAAAGCGGGGGAAAAAAAAAAAAAAAAAGAGAGCUCCAUGUGCUCUCAGCUGAGCCAGGAGAGAAAAAAAAAAAA
rnacentral:lncRNA from 9 species